rnacentral:sRNA from 1 species
UAGCCCGCGUGGCGCAGUUGGUAAGACUGUUACCCAGGGUAGCACUGUUAGAUGUGCUGUAGAUUCGAAUCCUGCCGCUGGCAAGGUCUCAUUUUGGGCCACUUCUUACCCAUGAAGGCCUCUGUGACCAGGGGCCAAGCCUAGUGAGGCAGUGCUGACAGGGGUGCUGCUUGACAGUGGUGAGGAUGGUGGCCCGCUGGAAGCCACUCUCAUUAGUGCCAAGCAGCCCCCCUGCCACUAGUGCUGAUCUAAGCAAGAUCCAAUGAUUACAGAGGGUCGAGUAUAGGAUGCUUAUACAUACUAGCACCUGCCAAGGCCCCCAGCAUCUAGGGGGCCACCCCAACAACAGGGAAUGAUUUUAAAAACCAUUCAAUUGGCUGCCUCAUCAGAGGGGUGUUGGCCCUAGGCUGCCUAUCACGGACUAGCGCACCGCACAUAUAUGCCUCAGCUGCCGACAUGCUAAUACAACCACUUAGACGUCCCAC